rnacentral:lncRNA from 1 species
GCGGACUUUUUUUGUCAUGUUUUGCAAAUCUUUUUUAUUGUCCAAUUCCUACAAAGACUGACACUUAAAGCAUUCAAGUCUGGGAACCGUCUGGAUAGUAUAAUAUCAUUGCAUUUUGACUGUUUUUUUUUAUUAAGUUUGCAUCUACAAAAAGAGGUACAAAUGUGAUGAACUUCGUUCUUUUCACUUUUAAAGCUCCUGGAUGUUUUGUGUUUUGUUUUGAAAACAAACCUUUCAAAUGUGUCCUAAUCUUUUUGCUCAUUGUCAUGUAAAUGAGUAUAUUACACAAACACGCCAACACUGUUAUCAAUUUUACAAAUUCGAAAAAUGUUCGUGCUGUUGUUAAAUCAUUCUCACUAAAGUCUAGAGAACUCGGAUCUGUACGAAUGGCAAACAGGAAACUGAAGAAGUUCCGGUCAAGUUGACUUCCCGAGAUUGCUAAACGGUACGUGAAUUUGUCCAUUGUAUUCCGUAUGCUUCUUAUAGUAACGAAAUACGUAAUAUUUCCCACACUUCUUGGAAUUUCGGAAAUUAGAAAUGCAAAUAGUAAAACAAACACCAUCAAAAUGGAUCUUGUUUCGUCUUAUGUCAAAUACUGUUUGAAUUUGUUCGUGCAUAGUUUAUAUGUAAUAUAUACGCUUGAAAUAUCAUGGUGAGACACAUCAAUAUGAAUAUCGCCGAUGUAAUGAGUGGUUGAUAUUCAUGAUAGUAGUCCUCAAGAAAUUCAUUAUGUGUGUUCAUCAAGCAAGAUUCUUGACCAGCUAAUUUUUCAUACCGAAAUGAAUGCGCAUUUAACAAAGGCACGUUGAUGGCCGCUGGGAUAGCAAAGCAUAAAACACAACAUACGAGAGAUUUCUUCACUGUGAGAUUGUUUCUGGUCCAGAUCGGAAACCUCACCGCGACAACCUUCUGUAAUCCUAUACAUGUUGUAAGAAUUACAGAUAUUAAAUGAAAGCAGUCGCAUGCCAGAAGCAUAGUAUAUACGUGAAUGCUACAUGACGAGGACUGUAGGGUCACAUAGGAACCAUUAAAAGAUGGAACAGUAAUUUCUGAAAGUGUGUUUAAAAAGAUAGGUUCGAAUCCAUACAUAAAUACCGCUGUAAGUCCAUCGGCAAGCGCAAGUCCCUGAAGUAACACUGUAGCCGGUGUAAGAAAAGGCUUCUGACAAAAAACAACAAAAAUAAACACAUUUCCGAUCACCGCUACAUAAGAAACAAUUGCUGCUACUAUAAACCAUGGUCCCAUGUCGACAGUUCUCGAUAAUAAAAUAAUCGGAAUUUCAUGCAUUCGUCCCAUUUUGGAUAUUAAGAUAUUGCUGGUAUGGGUAUGCAAACUCCGUACAGUAAUCUUUUCCGUUCCAGAACUAUGUUCCUUUACUCCAUGUAGAGUAAACUGCCGGGGAGUUUAACUCGUACGAUUCUAUGUCGCAGUCGUGUGUUAAAGUUUUUGAUAAAGUUAUCCGGAAAUCGUUUUACAACUUUAUAUAUAUUCUAUCUAUUGAAUACAUACAUGUUCGUUGAGUGUCGU